CCCCGGCGCCACAAGUGGUUAUCACGAUUAUUGGGCCUAAAGCGUUCGUAGCCGGUCUGGUAAAUCUCUCGUGAAAUUGUUCGGCUUAACCGGACAGCGUGCAGGAGACACUACCAGGCUCGAGACCGGGAGGGGUUAGAAGUAUUCCAUGGGGACUGGUAAAAUGGGAUAAUCCAUGGAAGACUACCGAUGGCGAAGGCAUCUAACCAGAACGGAUCUGACGGUGAGGAACGAAAGCCAGGGGAGCGAACCGG
rnacentral:rRNA from 1 species